CUCUCAUUACAUAUACUCCAAAAUAAUUCUUCUUCAUCACAGCCAGAAAAAGGCGAUUGUCCCGUAAGCAUUUCAUAAAGAAGAACACCAAAUGACCACCAGUCCACGGCUUGAUUGUACUUUAAACCCUUUAUUAUCUGCAAAGAUAAUGUAAACAAUGAGAGGUGUGAGAUUGACUUCAUCAUCACAUUUGUUUCAUUCAGAGGUAGAAUAAUUGCAGCGUACCAAUGAUGUGAUUUGACCUAGAAAAUGAAUUCUCGAUUUUAAAGGCUGCGUGUGUACGAAAGUCAAGUCAUUGUACUCGAGAGAAUGGAUAGGACCAUGAGGAAGUACUAAACUACAAUCACAAGUCUGAGAGAAGAGGAAUAGAGUGACAUAUAUGAUUUUGAUCAAUGGAAAUGGAUGCGAUGAACGUUUAGGAAAGUUUGAAAUCUCGAUAAUUCUAUUGCUUGCAAUUGUGUGUUAAUUGCCAGAAAGAUUCGUUUUCAAGCUGGUUGAUGUGUAUACCUAUAGAGAGUACUUUUGGCCCUGUGACAUUUUUCAAAAAUAGACUUGGCGUCCAUUGACAUAUACGUUUAAAGGCUUACCGCCCGGUGCCUGUCAUCAGGGAGCUGUGAUUGGCGAAGGUCCCAUAAUAAUAUGAGCUUCCGUCUCCGUAAUAAGGCAUUUUGUAGAUUGUUCAAUUUUCCGGCGCUUGUUUUUUUUUUUUUAAUGGAGGAAAAAAAAAAUUGAUUAUAAUCAAUGGCACGAGGACGAUCUCAGGAGUCAGGUGUAAAAAACGUUCUCACGGUUCAGGGAGCCACCACAGACUGAGUUUAAGCCACCGACCCAGUCUCCUCGUCUUCUAGUGAUUGGAAAUCCUCCACCAAUAUUUUCUGCAGGUGAAGAUAAAGCUGAAGCCUCCGCAACCCUUCGUGGAACACGAGUUUUAUAUACAUAAGUAUUUGUCGAUGAACUCGGUGGAAGAUCCGC